ACCGGCUAACUCCGUGCCAGCAGCCGCGGUAAUACGGAGGGUGCAGGCGUUAUCCGGAUUUACUGGGUUUAAAGGGUGCGUAGGCGGGUAAGUAAGUCCGUGGUGAAAUCUCCGGGCUUAACUCAGAAACUGCCAUGGAUACUAUUUGUCUUGAAUAUUGUGGAGGUGAGCGGAAUAUGUCAUGUAGCGGUGAAAUGCUUAGAUAUGACAUAGAACACCAAUUGCGAAGGCAGCUCACUACACAAAAAUUGACGCUGAGGCACGAAAGCGUGGGGAUCAAACACGAUUAGAUACCCUGGUAGUCCACGCCCUAAACGAUGAUUACUCGACAU
rnacentral:rRNA from 1 species